GUCUAAGUAUAAGCAACUAUACUGUGAAACUGCGAAUGGCUCAUUAAAUCAGUUAUCGUUUAUUUGAUAGUACCUUACUACAUGGAUAACCGUGGUAAUUCUAGAGCUAAUACAUGCUAAAAACCUCGACUUCGGAAGGGGUGUAUUUAUUAGAUAAAAAACCAAUGCCCUUCGGGGCUCCUUGGUGAUUCAUAAUAACUUAACGAAUCGCAUGGCCUUGCGCCGGCGAUGGUUCAUUCAAAUUUCUGCCCUAUCAACUUUCGAUUGUACGGUAGUGGCGUACAAUGGUAUCGACGGGUAACGGCGAAUUAGGGUUCGAUUCCGGAGAAGGAGCCUGAGAAACGGCUGCUACAUCCAAGGAAGGCAGCAGGCGCGCAAAUUACCCAAUCCCAAUUCGGGGAGGUAGUGACAAUAAAUACUGAUACAGGGCUCUUUUGGGUCUUGUAAUUGGAAUGAGUACAAUUUAAAUCCCUUAACGAGGAACAAUUGGAGGGCAGU
rnacentral:rRNA from 1 species